CCGGCAACCGGCGCACGGGUGAGUAACACGUAUGCAACCUGCCCGUCUCAGGGGGAUAAUCGUCGGAAACGGCGUCUAAUACCCCGUAUGAAGCUGGACGGCAUCGUCUGGUUUUGAAAGAAUAUCGGAGACGGAUGGGCAUGCGGCGCAUUAGCUAGUUGGCGGGGUAACGGCCCACCAAGGCGACGAUGCGUAGGGGUUCUGAGAGGAAGGCCCCCCACACUGGUACUGAGACACGGACCAGACUCCUACGGAAGGCAGCAG
rnacentral:rRNA from 1 species